UUUCUCAAGGUUGACCUCGGAUCAGGUAGGGAUACCCGCUGAACUUAAGCAUAUCAAUAAGGCGGAGGAA
rnacentral:rRNA from 1 species